rnacentral:lncRNA from 1 species
AAACACGGAUGCCAGGGCCCAGGGGUCCCCAGCAGGAAGAAGUGUGCACUCGCACCAGCCAAGAGGCAGCGAGCCUUCCUGGGCAGGACAGAUGACCAGCCCCCGUGUCCCCUGGGCUGCAAGGGCCUCAGAGACACGCUGUCCACUGGAGCAAAGGAGACCCAGGGCAGUUAGAAGA